rnacentral:rRNA from 1 species
UCGGGAAUAUUGGACAAUGGGCGCAAGCCUGAUCCAGCUACGCCAAGUGAGUGAUGAAGGCCUCCGGGUUGUAAAGCUCUGUCGUAAGGGAAGAUAAUGACGGUACCUUACAAGAAAGCACCGGCUAACUCCGUGCCAGCAGCCGCGGUAAUACGGAGGGUGCAAGCGUUACUCGGAAUUACUGGGCGUAAAGCGAGCGCAGGCGGCUUAUUAAGUCGGGUGUGAAAGCCCGGGGCUCAACCCCGGAACUGCACCCGAAACUGGUAGGCUUGAGGAUGAGAGAGGAAAGUAGAAUUUCUGGUGUAGAGGUGAAAUUCGUUGAUAUCAGAAGGAAUACCCGUGGCGAAGGCGGCUUUCUGGCUCAUUUCUGACGCUGAGGCUCGAAAGUGUGGGUAGCAAACAGG